UACGUAGGGUGCAAGCGUUAAUCGGAAUUACUGGGCGUAAAGCGUGCGCAGGCGGUUAUGUAAGACAGAUGUGAAAUGCCCGGGCUUAACCUGGGAACUGCAUUUGUGACUGCAUGGCUAGAGUUUGGCAGAGGGGGGUAGAAUUCCACGUGUAGCAGUGAAAUGCGUAGAGAUCCGGAAGAACACCGGUGGCGAAGGCGGUCUGCUGGGGUAAUGCUGACACUGAUGCGCGACAGCGUGGGGAGCAAACAGG
rnacentral:rRNA from 1 species